rnacentral:misc_RNA from 1 species
GAACCUUCAGGAGCCUCCUGGUCUCAAGUUUUCUGAUUACAGUGCAUUGGCUAUCUGUGCAAACAUGAAAACUUCUUGUUACAGUGUCGCCAUUGUUAAAUCUAAGCAAGUACCUGGUAACUUCUAUCAGUGGGAUCUCUCAAUCCACAUAUAUGAUUCUGGAACAAUGAAGUGGUUGACCCCUUUGACAGAGGUUCUAACAGGCUGGAGAGGUGGGGAUGAAAGUGUCAUCUGUGAUGGUGUUUUGUACUUCCUGAUCUAUGCAACUGGAGGUGGUGGUCUAGAAAGUCGUCAUGGUCUGAUCACUUACAACCUCUCAAGCAGAUCAUCCCAUUGUUCGUUAAUAAAGACUUUCAUUCCCGUGCCAUGUUCUCUAACAUGUGGUCGAUUGAUGAACCUCAAGGAGAAGUUAGUAAUGGUGGGAGGGAUUGGGAAACCAGACCGUCCUGACAUAAUUAAGGGGAUUGGCAUAUGGGCACUUCAGGGGACAGAAUGGCAAGAAAUUGCCCGCAUGCCACACAAGUAUUUUCAAGGUUUU